UUAAGCGACUAAGCGUACACGGUGGAUGCCCUGGCAGUCAGAGGCGAUGAAGGGCGUGCUAAUCUGCGAUAAGCGCCGGUAAGGUGAUAUGAACCGUUAUAACCGGCGAUACCCGAAUGGGGAAACCCAGUGUGACUCGUCACACUAUCAUUAACUGAAUCCAUAGGUUAAUGAGGCGAACCGGGGGAACUGAAACAUCUAAGUACCCCGAGGAAAAGAAAUCAACCGAGAUUCCCCCAGUAGCGGCGAGCGAACGGGGAGGAGCCCAGAGCCUGAAUCAGCAUGUGUGUUAGUGGAAGCGUCUGGAAAGGCGCGCGAUACAGGGUGACAGCCCCGUACACAAAAGCGCAUGUGCUGUGAGCUCGAUGAGUAGGGCGGGACACGUGGUAUCCUGUCUGAAUAUGGGGGGACCAUCCUCCAAGGCUAAAUACUCCUGACUGACCGAUAGUGAACCAGUACCGUGAGGGAAAGGCGAAAAGAACCCCGGCGAGGGGAGUGAAAAAGAACCUGAAACCGUGUACGUACAAGCAGUGGGAGCCCCACCACCAAAGCAUUCUCUGGUGUUGAAGGCCCUGCAAAGCAGCAUCGCGGUGGCGGAGCGUCGUUUGCGACGCCCAACACACAAAACAAGCGGUGAAUGCUUUGGGGUGGGGUGACUGCGUACCUUUUGUAUAAUGGGUCAGCGACUUAUAUUCUGUAGCAAGGUUAACCGAAUAGGGGAGCCGGAGGGAAACCGAGUCUUAAUUGGGCGUUAAGUUGCAGGGUAUAGACCCGAAACCCGGUGAUCUAGCCAUGGGCAGGUUGAAGGUUGGGUAACACUAACUGGAGGACCGAACCGACUAAUGUUGAAAAAUUAGCGGAUGACCUGUGGCUGGGGGUGAAAGGCCAAUCAAACCGGGAGAUAGCUGGUUCUCCCCGAAAGCUAUUUAGGUAGCGCCUCGUGAAUUCAUCUCCGGGGGUAGAGCACUGUUUCGGCUAGGGGGCCAUCCCGGCUUACCAACCCGAUGCAAACUGCGAAUACCGGAGAAUGUUAUCACGGGAGACACACGGCGGGUGCUAACGUCCGUCGUGAAGAGGGAAACAACCCAGACCGCCAGCUAAGGUCCCAAAGUCAUGGUUAAGUGGGAAACGAUGUGGGAAGGCCCAGACAGCCAGGAUGUUGGCUUAGAAGCAGCCAUCAUUUAAAGAAAGCGUAAUAGCUCACUGGUCGAGUCGGCCUGCGCGGAAGAUGUAACGGGGCUAAACCAUGCACCGAAGCUGCGGCAGCGACGCUGAUGCGUUGUUGGGUAGGGGAGCGUUCUGUAAGCCUGCGAAGGUGACCUGUGAGGGUUGCUGGAGGUAUCAGAAGUGCGAAUGCUGACAUAAGUAACGAUAAAGCGGGUGAAAAGCCCGCUCGCCGGAAGACCAAGGGUUCCUGUCCAACGUUAAUCGGGGCAGGGUGAGUCGACCCCUAAGGCGAGGCCGAAAGGCGUAGUCGAUGGGAAACGGGUUAAUAUUCCCGUACUUGGUGUUACUGCGAAGGGGGGACGGAGAAGGCUAUGUUGGCCGGGCGACGGUUGUCCCGGUUUAAGCGUGUAGGUGUGUGUUCCAGGUAAAUCCGGUUCACUUUAACACUGAGGCGUGAUGACGAGGCACUACGGUGCUGAAGCAACAAAUGCCCUGCUUCCAGGAAAAGCCUCUAAGCAUCAGGUAACAUCAAAUCGUACCCCAAACCGACACAGGUGGUCAGGUAGAGAAUACCAAGGCGCUUGAGAGAACUCGGGUGAAGGAACUAGGCAAAAUGGUGCCGUAACUUCGGGAGAAGGCACGCUGACACGUAGGUGAAGUGAUUUACUCACGGAGCUGAAGUCAGUCGAAGAUACCAGCUGGCUGCAACUGUUUAUUAAAAACACAGCACUGUGCAAACACGAAAGUGGACGUAUACGGUGUGACGCCUGCCCGGUGCCGGAAGGUUAAUUGAUGGGGUCAGCGCAAGCGAAGCUCCUGAUCGAAGCCCCGGUAAACGGCGGCCGUAACUAUAACGGUCCUAAGGUAGCGAAAUUCCUUGUCGGGUAAGUUCCGACCUGCACGAAUGGCGUAAUGAUGGCCAGGCUGUCUCCACCCGAGACUCAGUGAAAUUGAACUCGCUGUGAAGAUGCAGUGUACCCGCGGCAAGACGGAAAGACCCCGUGAACCUUUACUAUAGCUUGACACUGAACAUUGAGCCUUGAUGUGUAGGAUAGGUGGGAGGCUUUGAAGUGUGGACGCCAGUCUGCAUGGAGCCGACCUUGAAAUACCACCCUUUAAUGUUUGAUGUUCUAACGUGGACCCGUAAUCCGGGUUGCGGACAGUGUCUGGUGGGUAGUUUGACUGGGGCGGUCUCCUCCUAAAGAGUAACGGAGGAGCACGAAGGUUGGCUAAUCCUGGUCGGACAUCAGGAGGUUAGUGCAAUGGCAUAAGCCAGCUUGACUGCGAGCGUGACGGCGCGAGCAGGUGCGAAAGCAGGUCAUAGUGAUCCGGUGGUUCUGAAUGGAAGGGCCAUCGCUCAACGGAUAAAAGGUACUCCGGGGAUAACAGGCUGAUACCGCCCAAGAGUUCAUAUCGACGGCGGUGUUUGGCACCUCGAUGUCGGCUCAUCACAUCCUGGGGCUGAAGUAGGUCCCAAGGGUAUGGCUGUUCGCCAUUUAAAGUGGUACGCGAGCUGGGUUUAGAACGUCGUGAGACAGUUCGGUCCCUAUCUGCCGUGGGCGCUGGAGAACUGAGGGGGGCUGCUCCUAGUACGAGAGGACCGGAGUGGACGCAUCACUGGUGUUCGGGUUGUCAUGCCAAUGGCACUGCCCGGUAGCUAAAUGCGGAAGAGAUAAGUGCUGAAAGCAUCUAAGCACGAAACUUGCCCCGAGAUGAGUUCUCCCUGAGACUUUAGGUCUCCUGAAGGAACGUUGAAGACGACGACGUUGAUAGGCCGGGUGUGUAAGCGCAGCGAUGCGUUGAGCUAACCGGUACUAAUGAACCGUGAGGCUUAACCU
rnacentral:rRNA from 2 species